UAGUUUAAGCUGAGAUUAAGUCAUUGACUGACUUUAAUUUGCACAAAAGAUUUAAAGCAGAAAACAAAGAACUCGAUAGUUGAGUUGAUCCUAUUAUACAUUGAGCACAAUAAAUUGUGAAAUAACAUUAUCAGGCAGAAUCUAUGUAUCUCAAAUAAAAUGCAGACUAACAGCUCCAAGCUACAGCUGGAUUACGCGAAACUUGGACCAUUGUUCUCGUCCAACCUGCAUCACCGUCACCUCCAGGAAUCAAGGCUUGUCCCAAGACGAGACCGGUGUAAGAAGUUGAACAGGGCUUAGAACUUUGAUCCAGUACCUACCAAUGCGGCGCACAAAUGCAGCUUUAUCCCUGCCAACUGGAGCACGAUUCUCUAAGAUUCCGGCAAACCCAUCUAAUUGGGAGUCAUUGUCAUCUUACAUGCUGCAUAAAGAAUCACAGGGCCUCAACAGAUUCCAAAAGGAUUUAAGGUUUAAUUUUUCAGAUGC
rnacentral:lncRNA from 1 species